UCCCAAAUAGUCUAGGCGGUUGAGGAUACGUGGCUUUCACCCACGCGACCCGGGUUCGAGUCCCGGUUUGGGAA
rnacentral:tRNA from 1 species